rfam:Lactobacillus farciminis strain CNCM-I-3699-S genome.
GGAGAGUUGGCAGAGUGGUAAUGCAUCGGACUCGAAAUCCGACGAACCUGUUUUAUAGCAGGCGCGCAGGUUCAAAUCCUGUACUCUCCU